AAACUUUCAACAACGGAUCUCUUGGUUCUGGCAUCGAUGAAGAACGCAGCGAAAUGCGAUAAGUAGUGUGAAUUGCAGAAUUCAGUGAAUCAUCGAAUUUUUGAACGCACAUUGCGCCCCUCGGUAUCCCGGGGGGCAUACCUAUUCGAGCGUCAUUUC
rnacentral:rRNA from 1 species